UCCUCGGUAGUAUAUCGGCUAGUACACCCGCCUGUCAUGCAACUGCAGCGAUAAACAUCGCGGGAGAGCGGGGUUCGACUCCCCGCCGAGGAG
rnacentral:tRNA from 1 species